UGGGGAAUUUUGGACAAUGGGGGCAACCCUGAUCCAGCAAUGCCGCGUGUGUGAAGAAGGCCUUCGGGUUGUAAAGCACUUUUGGCGGGAACGAAACGGUCUGGGUUAAUACCCUGGGCUAAUGACGGUACCCGCAGAAUAAGCACCGGCUAACUACGUGCCAGCAGCCGCGGUAAUACGUAGGGUGCAAGCGUUAAUCGGAAUUACUGGGCGUAAAGCGAGCGCAGGCGGUUAUGUAAGACAGAUGUGAAAUCCCAGGGCUUAACCUUGGAACUGCAUUUGUGACUGCAUGGCUAGAGUGUGUCAGAGGGGGGUGGAACUCCACGUGUAGCAGUGAAAUGCGUAGAGAUGUGGAAGAACACCGAUGGCGAAGGCAGCCCCCUGGGAUAACACUGACGCUCAUGCUCGAAAGCGUGGGGAGCAAACAGG
rnacentral:rRNA from 1 species